AAAUUGAAGAGUUUGAUCAUGGCUCAGAUUGAACGCUGGCGGCAGGCCUAACACAUGCAAGUCGAGCGGAAACGAGUUAUCAGAACCUUCGGGGAACGAUAACGGCGUCGAGCGGCGGACGGGUGAGUAAUGCCUAGGAAAUUGCCCUGAUGUGGGGGAUAACCAUUGGAAACGAUGGCUAAUACCGCAUGAUGCCUACGGGCCAAAGAGGGGGACCUUCGGGCCUCUCGCGUCAGGAUAUGCCUAGGUGGGAUUAGCUAGUUGGUGAGGUAAGGGCUCACCAAGGCGACGAUCCCUAGCUGGUCUGAGAGGAUGAUCAGCCACACUGGAACUGAG
rnacentral:rRNA from 1 species